AAACUUCCUUCUCCAGUAUAUAUACUAAAAUUGGAAUGACACAGAAAAGAUUGGCAGAACCUCUGUGUAAGUAAGAAUGACAUGCAAAUCUGUGAAGAAUUCAGUAUUUUA